AACGAACGCUGGCGGCAGGCUUAACACAUGCAAGUCGAGCGCCCCGCAAGGGGAGCGGCAGACGGGUGAGUAACGCGUGGGACUCUACACAUCUCUACGGAAUAACGCAUGGAAACGUGUGCUAAUACCGUAUACGUCCGUCGGGCGAAAGAUUUAUAGGAGAUGGAUGAGCCCACGUUGGAUUAGCUAGUUUGUGGGGUAAAGGCCUACCAAGGCGACGAUCCAUAGCUGGUCUGAGAGGAUGAUCAGCCACACUGGGCCUGAGACACGGCCCAGACUCCUACGGGAGGCAGCAGUGGGGAAUAUUGGACAAUGGGCGCAAGCCUGGUCCAGCCAUGCCGCGUGAGUGAUGAAGGCCCUAGGGUUGUAAAGCUCUUUCACGGGUGAAGAUAAUGACGGUAACCGGAGAAGAAGCCCCGGCUAACUUCGUGCCAGCCGCCGCCGUAAAAC
rnacentral:rRNA from 1 species